GGGCCCGCACAAGCGGUGGAGCAUGUGGUUUAAUUCGAUGAUACGCGAGGAACCUUACCAGGGCUUAAAUGGGAGAUGACAGGGGCAGAGACGCCCUUUUCUUCGGACAUCUUUCAAGGUGCUGCAUGGUUGUCGUCAGCUCGUGCCGUGAGGUGUCAGGUUAAGUCCUAUAACGAGCGCAACCCCUACCGUUAGUUGCCAGCGAUUCAAGUCGGGGACUCUAACGGGACUGCCGGUGCAAACCGUGAGGAAGGUGGGGACGACGUCAAAUCAUCACGGCCCUUACGUCCUGGGCUACACACGUGCUACAAUGGUCGGUACAGAGGGAAGCUACCCCGUAAGGGGAUGCGGAUCUAUAAAACCGAUCUCAGUUCGGAUUGGAGUCUGGAACUCGACUCCAUG
rnacentral:rRNA from 1 species